AUUGAACGCUGGCGGCAUGCCUAACACAUGCAAGUCGAACGGAGAUAGGGGCAACCUUAUUUCAGUGGCGGACGGGUGAGGAAUGCGUCGGAAUCUGCCCUAUGGUGGGGGAUAACACAGGGAAACUUGUGCUAAUACCGCAUAAUGUCGAGAGACCAAAGCAGGGGACCGCAAGGCCUUGCGCGAUAGGAUGAGCCGACGCCCGAUUAGCUUGUUGGUAGGGUAAUGGCCUACCAAGGCGACGAUCGGUAGCUGGUCUGAGAGGAUGAUCAGCCACACUGGGACUGAGACACGGCCCAGACUCCUACGGGAGGCAACAGUGGGGAAUAUUGGACAAUGGGCGCAAGCCUGAUCCAGCAAUGCCGCGUGUGUGAAGAAGGCCU
rnacentral:rRNA from 1 species